rnacentral:rRNA from 1 species
CGGUUAAAACGCUCGUAGUUGGGUUUCUGUCAGGAACAACCGGUCUGGCCUGAGUGUCAAGUCAUUGGUUUGACCCUUGUCAUCUUCUUGGGGAACAGGUGCGCACUUCGCUGUGCGACCUGGAAACCUUGACGUUUACUUUGAGGAAAUGAGAGUGCUUCAAGCGGGUGUUCGCCACGAAUAUGUUAGCAUGGAAUAAUAGUAUUGGACCCUGGAUCACAGCUGUUGGUUGCUGGAAUCGGGGUGAGGGUAAACAGAGACAGUUGGGGGCAUUCGUAUUUAACUGUCAGAGGUGAAAUUCUUGGAUUUGUUAAAGACAAACUACUGCGAAAGCAUUUGUCAAAGAUGUUUUCAUUGAUCAAGAACGAAAGUUAGGGGAUCGAAGACGAUCAGAUACCGUCCUAGUCUUAACCAUAAACUAUGCCGGCUAGAGAUUGGGGGUUGUUGCUAUUUCGACACCUUCGGCAUCUUGGGAGAAAUCAAAAGUCUUUGGGUUCCGGGGGGAGUAUGGUCGCAAGGCUGAAACUUAAAGGAAUUGACGGAAGGGCACCACCAGGAGUGGAGCCUGCGGCUUAAUUUGACUCACACGGGAAA